UCCUGGCUCAGAGCGAACGUUAGCGGCGCGCCUAACACAUGCAAGUCGCACGCGAAAGGGGGCAACCCUGAGUAAAGUGGCGCACGGGUGCGUAACACGUAGAUAACCUGCCCUUUGGAGGGGGAUAACGUUCCGAAAGGAGCGCUAAUACCGCAUACAGCAUUCUGGGGUUCGCCCUGGGAUGGCAAAGGUAGGGACCGGCAACGGCCUAUCACCAAAGGAGGGGUCUGCGGCCCAUCAGCUAGUUGGGGAGGUAAUGGCUCACCAAGGCAAAGACGGGUAGCUGGUCUGAGAGGAUGAUCAGCCACACUGGUACUGGAACACGGACCAGACUCCUACGGGAGGCAGCAGUGGGGAAUCUUGGUCAAUGGGCGAAAGCCUGAACCAGCGACGCCGCGUGAGUGAUGAAGGCCUUCGGGUUGUAAAGCUCUGUGGGGCGAGACGAAAGCCUACGUUCUAAUAGGACGUAGUUUGACGGUAUCGCCUUAGCAAGCACCGGCUAACUCUGUGCCAGCAGCCGCGGUAA
rnacentral:rRNA from 1 species